rnacentral:rRNA from 1 species
GACGAACGCUGGCGGCGUGCUUAACACAUGCAAGUCGAACGGAAAGGCCCUGCUUUUGUGGGGUGCUCGAGUGGCGAACGGGUGAGUAACACGUGAGUAACCUGCCCUUGACUUUGGGAUAACUUCAGGAAACUGGGGCUAAUACCGGAUAGGAGCUCCUGCUGCAUGGUGGGGGUUGGAAAGUUUCGGCGGUUGGGGAUGGACUCGCGGCUUAUCAGCUUGUUGGUGGGGUAGUGGCUUACCAAGGCUUUGACGGGUAGCCGGCCUGAGAGGGUGACCGGCCACAUUGGGACUGGGGUACGGCCCAGACUCCUACGGGAGGCAGGAGUGGGGAAUAUUGCACAAUGGGCGGAAGCCUGAUGCAGCAACGCCGGGUGCGGGAUGACGGCCUUCGGGUUGUAAACCGCUUUCGCCUGUGACGAAGCGUGAGUGACGGUAAUGGGUAAAGAAGCACCGGCUAACUACGUG